rnacentral:tRNA from 1 species
GGCCUCGUAGCUCAGGUGGUUAGAGCAUUGACUGUGCUAUAGUGCCACCCUGACUGUCCUGGGUUCGAAUCCCACGGAGGCCA